AGCGAACGCUGGCGGCAGGCCUAACACAUGCAAGUCGAACGAAGUCUUCGGACUUAGUGGCGGACGGGUGAGUAACACGUGGGAACGUACCUUUUGGUUCGGAACAACUCAGGGAAACUUGAGCUAAUACCGGAUGAGCCCUUAGGGGGAUAGAUUUAUCGCCGAAAGAGCGGCCCGCGUUAGAUUAGCUAGUCGGGGAGGUAAAGGCUCACCAAGGCUAAGAUCUAUAGCUGGUCUGAGAGGAUGAUCAGCCACACUGGGACUGAGACACGGCCCAGAUUCCUACGGGAGGCAGCAGUGGGGAAUCUUGCGCAAUGGGCGAAAGCCUGACGCAGCCAUGCCGCGUGAAUGAUGAAGGUCUUAGGAUUGUAAAAUUCUUUUACCAGGGACGAUAAUGACGGUACCUGGAGAAAAAGCCCCGGCUAACUUCGUGCCAGCCGCCGCGGUAAAAC
rnacentral:rRNA from 1 species